GUGAAUCAUCAAAUUUUUGAACGCAAAUUGCACUCUUUUCGGUGAGUAUGCCUGUUUGAGUGUCAGCCUAUAAAUAAUCGACAUCGUUGCUGUUUCGCGUUGGCGUUGGUAGGAAUUUGGGUCAUCUUUAAUUUUUUGGUUUUGAGAGAUUUAAAAUUUUCACUUUGGUUUCAUGAACGUUUCUAAGAUUUAUUUCUUUAUAUGUUUAAGGUAUCGAUUUUUAUUAGAUGUGAUCAUCAUAUCGGAACGCGCCCAUACUCUUUGAUCAA
rnacentral:misc_RNA from 1 species